rnacentral:rRNA from 1 species
GACGAACGCUGGCGGCGUGCCUAAUACAUGCAAGUCGAACGCAUUUUCUUUCACCGUAGCUUGCUACACCGAAAGAAAAUGAGUGGCGAACGGGUGAGUAACACGUUGGUAACCUGCCCAUCAGCGGGGGAUAACACUUGGAAACAGGUGCUAAUACCGCAUAAUUCCAUUUACCGCAUGGUAGAUGGGUGAAAGGCGCUUUUGCGUCACUGAUGGAUGGACCCGCGGUGCAUUAGCUAGUUAGUGGGGUAACGGCCUACCAAGGCUGCGAUGCAUAGCCGACCUGAGAGGGUGAUCGGCCAAACUGGGACUGAGACACGGCCCAGACUCCUACGGGAGGCAGCAGUAGGGAAUCUUCGGCAAUGGACGCAAGUCUGACCGAGCAACGCCGCGUGAGUGAAGAAGGUUUUCGGAUCGUAAAACUCUGUUGUUAGAGAAGAACAAGGAGGAGAGUUGAACGUUCAGCUCUUGACGGUAUCUAACCAGAAAGCCACGGCUAACUACGUG